rnacentral:lncRNA from 1 species
GAGUGCAAAGACAUUCCAGUUUGAAGAAAAGAAAUUACCUGAACUAAGGCCAUAUCUGACAAGUCUACCUGUUGGUAGAACUCAUCUAGAAGACUUUUUAAACUCUUGAAGGGAUGGCCUUAGUAAUCUCUAUUUGUAAUAAGUUGCUCUGGACAGUCUUUUCAUGAAGAAAAUUUAGGAACAUGGAACCAAGGCGUAGAGUAUAAAAGAAUGUGUCAUUUUCAGAGAAGUCCUGUUAUAGACUGGUUUAACUAGAACCACUGUAUACUAGAACUAGCACUCUAUACUAGAACUAGAUUCAUGUAGGACAUGAGUUAAGUUUGAAUUUCCAAUAAUCAGUGAAUGAAAUUUUUAGUACAAGUAUGUUUCAUGCAAUAUUUGGAAUCUACUAUACUAAAAAUACUUGUUUCUCUGAAAUUCAAAUUUAACUGGGCAUAUUGCAUUUUUACUUGCUAAAUCUCACAACCCUAAGAAUGUAGGGUAUGUGUCAGGUGGAGAAAAGAACCAGAAAUAAUGAGGCUGAAACACUAUUAUAUUAUUAGGCCAAAUAAUAGUAAAGUACUAUUUUUCAUGUGGGAUAUGCAAGUGUAGCAUGUAGCUAAUGAAGCUUAAAUUUCUGAGCCCAUUGCUUACAUAAGUCUUUUGGAGGCCCUAGGACAGUCCUUAGCAGUAUGUUCACAUCUUAUGUUUAUAUAAAAUUUUCAAAUGUAUGAUAUUUUUGCAUUCUUUUCCUUAAAAGGGGACUCCAAAAAUGUAUACACUUCAGGCUCAACAAAAUUUUGAUCUGCCCCUGCAUGUGGGACCACAUAAGUCUCAGAUACAA